AGGAGGAGGAAAAUCCCUGCUAUACAUACGAAGCACAGUAUAAGCCCAAUACAACUGACCAAUCAAAAUUAGUGAAUGCACUGCAUCUCUCUGCAGUGGAGAGAAGCGACAAGGUAGGCUGUCAUUCUGCAAAAGCUGCCCAGAACAGGCUUUCCUCUGAAAAGCAGUGCCGUUCCUUUUCAGAAAGACUGAAUCUAAAUGUUGUCUCUGGAGAGAAGAAUGUUAAAUUACUUUCAUUAUGUAUUUUCAGAUGCUUAUUGAUUCCACAGUAGGAAGAGUGAGACUGCAGCAGCCUCUAGGCAGCACUACAUGUUCCAUACAUUAGCAGUACUGCUGAAACAAUGGCACAGGAUAGACACAUAUUUUCAUUAAGGUCAUUUUCCGAGAGAUGUUUAUGACCCUCUUUCCCCAGUUCUCUACUGACAAGUGAACAAAAUGAAUCAAUCAAAACUGGAAACGCUUCAACUACAUCAAGAAUUUAUCAAAUCUUUAGCAGAGGUCCAGAGCAGCUAACACAGUAUUCAUACCUGAAAAUAUGAAGAAUACAACUGACUGACCAUCUCCCUAGCUGUCUGAGCCACGAACUGCACGAAAUUCUUCUAACACUUGAUUUUAAGACUUUAAGGAGUUAAAAAUCAGGGAACAGGACUACAUUACUGCUGGACUGUAACAAAUCGAGAGUAUCCUAAGAAGAUGCUACAUAAGAUAACCACAAAAAGAAAAACAAUAUAACUAUAAAAGCCUGAAAACAAGAUGGUGAACAUUUUCAAAGGGAGAGUUAGACAUGCUAAAAUUGUGGAAGCUACGAUUCUUGAAGAAACAAUAAAACAUGAAUUUCUAAAAGGAGAAUGGUAUACUUUACCGGCAAGUAAAAUGAAGCUGUACCAAGUAUUUUCUGCACUAAAUAUCCAGCUAUAUUAAUUGAUAUGACUAAUGGAUUUUUUCCAUCUGAGUUUUAUGAGCAAUUAUGUAUAUUCUUCUAAUGAAUAUAAACCAAAUUAAAUAGCAGAUGGCUUUUAUCAAAAGAACGUGGACUGGAUUUAUAAUAUAAGGCAAGUUAUGUGAUCAAGAAAUCAUUAAAUCAUGAGGACUGCUAUAGAAACUGAUUUACAAUGGUAACAGAAGGAUGUCUAAAUACAUUUUAGAAGCUAGAAACCUUAUGUUUCCUUCUUUGUUUUUACACAUUUUGGAAAAUAAAGAGACACUAUCCUAUAUCCCCUCAAAGGGAAACAUAAUUCUUAUCAUUUGAGGAAGUUGCUCUUGGUCGUGACUUUCUAAGGCAAAAUAAAUACAAAUACUAUGUACUGUUCAUUAGAAAUCCAUCAGCCAACUAAAUCUCAUAAUUCAUACAGUUGAAGUAUUGGAGAGAAAAUGAAAGAAUUCCUACAAGACAUGAAAUAAAACACAGCUACUUCACUGUUGUCAGGUAAAAAUUCAUGUGAAAAUCUGUCAAUGAUAUCAUGUAUCAAUUUGUGAAAAAUUGCCAUAGUGAGCCAAAAGGCCCAUAAGGCAACAGCAAACAGG